rnacentral:lncRNA from 1 species
AAACAACAUGGAUCUUGCAAUUUUAUCAGGACAAUGCAAGUAGAUUUCAGCAAGGUUGGUUCCAACUCAUCUGUGAUAAAUGAGAAGAUAAGGCAAUCAGUGCACACCAUGACACUCUGUGCAGCUAGUUAGGCACACUUCAGAACUAUUCAGGUGUGCUCACGAAGCCUAUGAGUCUUUCAUGGGGGGUGUCUCAAUAUAAAUACGUCCUUCAUGGUGGCCACUGGAAAUGCAGGACUUGCUUUUCCAAGACUUAACCCAGGUCAGAUAUAAAUAAUAGAUAUUAAGAGUUAGCUCUAAUGCUGAGGCUGUGUUAGAGACUAUAUUUUGGUUAGAUAAAAAGAAUGCAUUUUUUUUUUCUUCUCCUUCUUUUCUUUGCUUAGCUGCUUGACAGAUGCCUGUAAAAUUCCAACACACUUUUGCAUGGACCUGUUUGGGUCUCUGAGAGAGAAGGUUUCAGCUUCUUAAGAGCAAAGAUUUAUAUCCAAGAAGCUCUACUGGCCCUGCACCAACGAUUACAAGUCUGCAAACUGUUGCAAGCCGUGAGUCUCUGGGAGGUCUGCUCAAAAGGCCAUUUAGUGAGGCGGUCAUUCAGACUGCCACCUGUGAAGGCGUGUUUGGGAACAAAUGCAUGGGAGUAUGAAGACGUAGAUGAUGAGAUGAGAACUUGCACCAGAACUAUAUGACUGAAGAAACCCCCAUUUAUGUAAUAUGUAACUUCAAGAGUUAGUAGCAUUCACAGAGAAAUUGCUUUCUCAGUCCAGUGGAGGUGGCAGAAGGAAGCGAGGUAAGAUUUGUGUUGUGUGCACCUGGAGAUGAAAUGGUGAGCAGUGCUUCGGUGCUACGUGCAGGAGAACUGGCUGUGUGUGUUUCUGAAGCUGCUGGUGGAGGGCUGAAGUCCUACCAAUGAAAUACACUUAGUCAUGACAUUCAGAACGUGCACUGAGCCUUGCCUGGUGCUCGCAGUCGCUCAGCCAGGCUGGCUGAUGAGGCAAAGCGAGGAGACGCAGUUGGGAAUUGUUAAAUGAGGCUUGCGAUAUUGUUGUCAAACUAUUGAUCAUCUGCGGCUCGACAGGAAGGAGGGGAGCUCUGCUAAAAGCUGACCAAGCUCAGAAAGAGCAGCAGCAAAGCAUUGGGCACGAGGGACGAUUUUUGGGAGCGGAGGCCCGGCCCGCCCGCUGCCGCAGCUGCCGGAGCUCCGCGCAGGGGUCAGAGCUCAGCCCUAAUCCUGUUGCCCCCCCUGCUGGUUAAAAGCCUGUGCUCAUUUUGUUACUUUACACCGAGAUAAACAUCGCAGUCAUUUCACACUUCCUUUAACAUUCGAUAUGAAUUUAAUUAUCAUUUGUCUGGACUUCAUUUGUUUGGGAGGAAAAACAGUUUGUCGUAGAUGCUUGCCUUGUUGAUUUAUUUUUCCGUUAUCAUGUGUGCAAUCCACCAAAGACUCCAAUGCUUGACAUGUUCUAAGCAGCCGGCCUCAGUUCUCCUUUUCAUCUUUCUUAUUUUUUUGUGAGAAAAGGCAGGAAAUUAAAAACUCACUUUUAUUGAGGAGUGAGCAAAAAAUUUGGGUUUCUCAUGGUGGAGUUUACAGGUAGCAGCCAAGCGUUUGUGACUGUGACUGUCAGCACUAUCUUCGUUGUCAAACUAACAUGAGAGGAAGUUUGAUAACCUCCAGGUAAAAGCCCUUUGAUUUUUAUUUUAAAUUCCAAUAAAAUUUUAGAGGUCUUGUUUGAGGCA